rnacentral:rRNA from 1 species
GUUUCGGCUAUCACUUACAGAUGGGCCCGCGGCGCAUUAGCUAGUUGGUGGGGUAACGGCUCACCAAGGCGACGAUGCGUAGCCGACCUGAGAGGGUGAUCGGCCACACUGGGACUGAGACACGGCCCAGACUCCUACGGGAGGCAGCAGUAGGGAAUCUUCCGCAAUGGACGAAAGUCUGACGGAGCAACGCCGCGUGAGUGAUGAAGGUUUUCGGAUCGUAAAACUCUGUUGUUAGGGAAGAACAAGUGCCGUUCGAAAGGGCGGCACCUUGACGGUACCUAACGAGAAAGCCACGGCUAACUACGUGCCAGCAGCCGCGGUAAUACGUAGGUGGCAAGCGUUGUCCGGAAUUAUUGGGCGUAAAGCGCGCGCAGGCGGUCUCUUAAGUCUGAUGUGAAAGCCCCCGGCUCAACCGGGGAGGGUCAUUGGAAACUGGGAGACUUGAGUACAGAAGAGGAGAGUGGAAUUCCACGUGUAGCGGUGAAAUGCGUAGAGAUGUGGAGGAACACCAGUGGCGAAGGCGACUCUCUGGUCUGUAACUGA